AUGGAGCUUUGGAAGAGCCAAAACAGAUAUGUGAUGAUGCUAGAAGGGUGGGAAUUUGAAGAUGCUACCCUCUGGAACAUGAAUUCUACAGAGGCAGAAAUAGUAAGGUCUGGUCAUGGUGAUGGCUCAAUCAUCUCCAGUGAGCCCUGCAGGGCCAUGUCAAGGACAACACAAGUAGGUACGUGUUUGAAGCCUUUUUCUGCUACAGCAAAAUCUGGUCUUUCCUGA
rnacentral:rRNA from 1 species